GAAGAUGAUGUCAUGCAUGGACUCGAUGAUGACUUUGAGAUCAUAGUUAAUAGAUUGAUAGGACGACCACGGGAUCUGGAAAUCGUCAUAAUAUUAGGCAUGGGUGGCAUUGGCAAAACAACACUCGCUAAAAAAGCUUAUGAUCAUCUUCGAAUCAGGUAUCACUUUAGCAUUCUUGUUUGGGUUACUGUAUCUCAAGGAUUUAGACGUAGAAAUGUAUUGUUACAAGCUUUACAUUGCAUUUCAAAACAAACAGUUAUGGUGAAUGCAAAAGAUUAUGAUAAAAUGUAUGACAAUGAGUUAGCUGAUCUGGUGCAAAAGAGCCUAAAGGGUCCAAGAUACCUUAUUGUUGUUGAUGAUAUUUGGAGUACGGAUGCUUGGCAUAGAAUAAGAAGAAUAUUUCCUAAUUACAACAAUAGUAGUCGAAUCUUAUUCAUUACUGGGGAAACUGAAGUUGCAAUGUAUGCAGAUACUAGCAGUCCUCAUGAGAUGAACCUUUUGAAUUCAGAAAAUGGUUGGAAGUUACUUCGUGAUAAGGCGUUUAGACCAAAUAAUAAUCAUCCUCUUGAAUUGGAAGAAAUUGGAAUGGAGAUAGUAGAAAAAUGUCAAGGACUUCCCUUAACAAUUUCCGUGAUUGCAGAACAUCUUUCCAAAAUGGUCAGGACGAUAGAAGGCUGGAAGGAUGUUGCCCGAACCUUGAGGGAAGUCCUUGCUAGUCAUUCAAAUAAAUGCUAAGGAGUGCUCGGUUUGAGUUACCACUACUUGCCUAAUCGCCUCAAACCUUGCUUUCUUUCAAUGAGUAGUUUCCCAGAGGAUUUUCAGGUUGAAACUUGGAGAUUGAUCCAAUUAUGGAUUGCAGAAGGUUCCAUAAGGACGUCUGGAAGUCGUAAAAGCUUGGAGGAAGUGGCAAUAGAUUAUUUGGAGGAACUUAUUAGUAGGUACUUGAUACAUGCCAAAAAAAGGAGAUUCAAUGGUGAGAUAAAAGCGUGUGGAAUACAUGAUCUACCGCGUGAGUUCAGUUUGAUAGGAGCUGUAAUGACAAAGCACAUGCAUGUUGGGAGAACUUACGUUACUCUUCCAUCACAAAAGCAUACUGUUCGUCACUUCAGUUUUCAAACCUUAUCUUAUUCAGUUGAUGAUUGUUAUAAUCUAUUACCCCCUGUUGCCAGAUCUUUCUACUUGUUUUCUCGAUUGAAUCUACCUCUUGAACCCCGUAUUGAGCUUCUGGGGAUAUUGCCCAUCUACCGUCAUGAUCCAAUAAUACAUGUAUUUUUUCUCUCGUUUCAACCUUCUCGGGGUAUUGGCCAUCUUCAAUAUAGAUGUAAAGUUCGAGUCAUUUCCACUCGUGAUCACAAAGUUGUUUCAUUUGAGAUAUCUCCAAAUUCGAUUUCUGGGCAAUAUUCCUGAAUCAAUCUCAGAGCUUCAGAAUUUGCAAACACUAAUUUGUAGUGGUAAUUCUUACGAUAUAACCCUACCUGGUAAGAUAUGGAUGAUGAAGAACUUGAGGUAUAUACGUCUGCGGGGAGCCACUUAUUUACCCAGUCGUAGAAUAGAAAGUAUUCUAAAUAAGCAUCUAGUGAUAGGGAUGCCAAAUCUAGAGGAAUUUUUUAAUCUUUGUUACGUCAGUUGUACAAAUGGAGUCUUUUAUGGCAUUCCCAAUCUAAAAAGAUUGAUCAUUCGUGUACCUUUUAUCGUACGUACACAACAGUUUUCCCGAUGGGCUCUUGGAUAUGUCCAGCUUGAGGAAACUCGAAAUAUUCAAGUGUUUCUGGAAUAUUCGUUACUCAGAAGGCCCCAUCAUCAGUUUUGUUUUUCCAUCAUCACUUAAGAGGCCGACUUUAUCUAGAUGUUUAUAUUUUCCUUGGGAAGACAUAUUAUCAACUGUUAUCAUGUUGCCAAAUCUGGAAGAGCUCAAAAUUAAAGGUUGUCUAGUCGGUGGAGAUGUGUGGAUAUUAAGUGAUAAAGACAAAUUCAAAAGCUUGAAGUUGUUGUUACUGAACAACAUAAAUCUUAAGCGUUGGGAAGCUAGCAGUAAUAACUUCCCAAAUCAAGAACGCCUUGUUCUGAACUAUUGUGACAUCCUGCAAGAAAUUCCAACAGAUUUUGGGUUAUAUGAUUGCAGCACUACUGCUGAGGAUUCUGCAAGACAGAUUGUACAAGAACACGAGGACAUGGGAAAUAAUUCCCUUAAGGUCUUGUUAAGAUCAGUUAGAACUAGUGCUGACUAGAUGACAGCUGUACAGCAAGUGGUGUAAAAUAUAGCUAGCAAUUAGUUAGAGUUAAUUAGGAUAUUAAAUAGUAGAGCUUGGAUUAAUUGUAGCCAACGGGAUAAAUCAUUUUCUGAAUGAGAAGUUAUUUUUCUCUGUUCUAAUUCUCUCCAACCAACUCUCCUCUUCUUCCUCUCUGAGUCCAUAGUAAACACCAUUAAUGGUGAUAUCUGAGUAAGUCAAGUAAUUCAUCAUGGUAUCAAAGCCAGGUUCGCUGGUCUCUUCGAUCCGCCAAUAGAUCGAUCCGAUAAUUGAUUUCCUGUUGAAUUCAUCCGGUGCAAGUUUGAGUGUUUUGUAUUUUCAAGGUUACAGCUGCAAUGGCGAUCAACAAUGGUGGAAAUCCCAGUACUACUGCAGAUCCAGUUAAUGGUAACACUACCCAGCAUACAGUCAUCGAUCAACAUCAUCCUUUAUUCCUUCAUCCAUCGGACACACCAGGUAGCUCAUUAAUCUCGGUCAAACUUAUUGGUCCUGAAAACUAUUCACUAUGGAGUAGUACUAUGCAUAUUAGUUUAUUGGGGAAAAGUAAAUUAGGGUUUGUUGAUGGGAAAUACCCUAACAACAAUUUGGAUACUUCUUUCCAUGACCUUUGGGUUGAAAUGUAAUGCCAUUGUGCUCUCGUGGAUCAUGAAUUCCGUUAGCACUGAGCUUCUAAGUGGUAUGGUUUACGCGUCGAGUGCUGAUGCUGUGUGGAUGGACCUGAAAGGGAGGUUUGAUAAAGUGAACGGUCCGCGAGUUUUGUUUUCGUACAAGCAAAUUGCUACACUUACACAAGGAGUUUCAUCUGUUUCUAGUUAUUUUUCCAGACUCAAAGAAUUAUGGGCUGAAUUCUAUGCACUCAUGCCUUUCCCUAGUUGUGGCUGUGAGGAAUCCAAAAGAUAUGUUGAACACUUUGAAUAUCAGCAGUUAUUGCAGUUUUUAAUGGGACUAAACGAGUCUUACUGUCAAUCCAGUAAUCAGAUUCUCAACAUGUCACCAACAAUUACCAUUAAUAAAGCCUAUGCAAUGAUUAUCUCAGAAGAGAACAGGUGAACUAUGUCUCAUCAAUCUCACAUUCCUGAAAUCAGGGAAGGUACAACCCUAUUCAGUGGAAAAGGUACAGUACAUGGUGGUGGUAGUUCAGCUGGUUCCAAUCCUCGAUCAGGUGGAGGCUAUUCAAGAGACAAUAACUCUUCAGGGUUCAACUCUGGGGGAAAUUCCUAUAAAAGAGAAAUCAAUUCUUCUGAUGCUAUGGGUGAACGAAAUUCUGGUCCUAACUCAAACUUUGGGAAUGCUGCUAGAGGAAACAGAUAUCCUAGCUCAAACAACACUUAUAGAAUGAAGAAAGGACCAGUGUAUUGUGACUAUUGUCAUUUUAAAGGACAUACAAAUAAAACGUGCUACAAGCUUCAUGGCUAUCCACCUAAUUCAUCACCUAAAAAGAGGUUUGGCUCUGGAUAUACUUCUGGGCAUCCAACAGCUAACUAUUCUCAGGAUGUCUCUAGUUAUGCAGGUGCUAGGCAAUCAACUUCUAUAGCUAACUAUGCAGGAGGAUCGAGUGCAUCUGCAAGUGUUGAUAACAUCAAUUGGAUGCCACCUCAAUUCACUAAGGAGCAAUACACACAGAUCUUACAAAUACUGGAUAAAGGAUCUGACUCAUCUAACUGUGCCAUGUAUGCAAUGUCUACAGGUAUGAGUUCUGACACUAUAACUCACGGUGUUGUGAGUCAAUGGAUAGUAGACUUAAGAGCCUCAAGCCAUAUGGUUGGUUGUCUUAAGUUGCUAGACGAGUUUAAAACAUUUCCACAAGAUCAAAGGGGCAGAGUGCAAUUGCCUAAUGGUGAUAUAGCAAGUGUUACUCACUUAGUCUCUUCUCAUCUAUUUCAAUGACAUAAGAUCUCAAAUGUGAUGCACAAUCCAGCUUUCAGAUAUAAUCUCUUAUCUGUGUCUAAACUAAGGAAAUGAAUUGGGCUAUUUUCUUCUAUCCUAAAUUCUGUAUAUUUCAGGACAUCUUAAGUGGAAAGGUGAAGGGGAUUGGUAGGAAUGAAGAUGGUCUGAAUGUGUUCAACUCAGAUAAUUCAAAGAUAGCAACUAACUCAAUUUCUACUUCUACACCAGUGUCAGUCUGCACUGUUCAGAAUACAUUAAGACCUGAUGUGCUUCUCUGGCAUAGAAGGUUAGGUCAUGCUCCUGUGAGCUCUCUGAAGAUUAUACCUGGUGUACCUAAUGUACUAAAAGAUACUGCUGUAAAAGAUUGUUCUAUAUGCCCUCUAGCUAAGCAGAAUAAGCCUCCUUUUCCUGUGAGUACAUCUGUUACCAAGUCUUGUUUUCAGCUUCUACAUAUAGAUGUGUAGGGACCUUAUAGGGUUCCCACUUAUGAUGGAAAAAACUAUUUCUUGAAUCUUGUAGAUGAUCAUUCUAGAUAUACUUGGAUAUUCUUGCUACCAUCUAAAUGUGAAGUAAUUGUUGUUCUUAGAUCAUUCCUUUCUAUGAUCAGAAAUAUUUACUCUUCUAUAGUGAAAGUUCUUAGAACAGAUAAUGGUAGUGAAUUUUUUUAACUCUCACAUGACUGAGUUACUGCAAACAUUUGGAGUUGAACAUCAGAGUUCUUUUGUGUAUACUUCACAGCAAAAUGGAGUUGCUGAAAGGAGACACAAAUACAUUCUUAAAAUUGCUCUAUCCUUGAGGUUUCAAGCUAAUGUACCACUCAAAUUCUGGGGUGAAUGUGUAUCUGCAGCUGUAUACAUCAUCAAUAGAACACCCUCCUCAGUCCUUCAUGGCAAAGAUCCUAUUACUAUUCUUGAGGGAGCUGCUCCCUCUCUUACUCAUAUGACAGUAUUUUGUAUCUUAGGAUAUGUUACUAAUGUCAAAAGGCAUGAAAAAUUUGCUCCAAGGGAAGUUCCAGCUAUUUUUCUUGGUUACUCAGCAACUCAGAAGGGUUACAAGAUGUACACUCUUUACUCCAAGGAUUUUAUCAUCAGCAGGGAUAUAGUGUUUAGGGAAUCAGUCUUCCCUUUUACAUUCCCCACUAAAGGAUCUCCUUUGUUUCCUACUGUUGAUCUUCCCUCUUACCUUACACUGAUUGUCCUUCAAUUUCUAUACCUUCUUCCACUUCAAGCCAUGCUCCUGCACCUACUACUUCAUCUGAACCACCUUUUAUACCUCAUACUUCAUCUACUGAUAUUCCUACCUCUUCAUCAGAACUUGAACCACCUAUCUCUACUACCUCUUCUUCUUCCAUUCCACUCAAAAAAUUAGCUAGGCCAGUCAAACCUCCCCUGUGGAUGCAAGACUAUAUCACUAAAAAUAAAGGCAAGGCUAGUUGCGGCUACCCAUUAUCUAACUGUCUGAGUUAUACUCAUCUCUCUCCAUCUUAUAGUCUUGCUCUUGCUUCCUAUUCUAAUACUGUAGAACCCCAAUCCUUUGAAGAAUCUGUCCAGGAUCCUAAGUAGGUUGCUGCCAUGAAAGCUGAGAUCUCUGCUCUUGAAAAUAACCACACAUGGAGUGUAGUAGAUUUACCCUCUUCUAAAUAUCCCAUUGGGUGUUAGUGGGUCUUCAAGAUCAAAUAUACUGCUUCAGGUGCCAUUGAAAGAUAGAAGGAUCGACUAGUAGCCAUGGGGUACAACCAUCAGGAGGGACUAGAUUAUACUGAGAUAUUCUCACUAGUGGCAAAGAUGGUCACAGUGAGGUAUGUUCUAGCUAUUGUAGCUGCUGGGGGGUGGUCUAUAUUUCAUAUGGAUGUGCAUAAUGCCUUCCUUCAAGGUGAUUUACUUGAGGAAGAAUUCAUGACUUUGCCACAGGGAUUUGCAAGCCAGAGAGGGACUAAAGUAUGCAGGCUUCACAAAUCCCUCUAUGGGCUAAAACAGGCCCCUAGGCAAUGGAACAAAAAACUCACUGAUGCUUUUAUGUAACUGGGGUUUACUCAGAUUCACUUUGACUACUCUCUAUUCACUAAGAAGGUGAAAUUUGAAUUGAUAGUAGUUCUUGUGUAUGUGGAAGAUUGUUGGUCAUAGGAAGUAGUGCUGAGUUAAUACUGAAGACAAGACAUGACGUACAACUCAAGUUUAAGAUGAAAAACUUGGGUGAACUUAAAUUUUUCUUGGGAAUUGAGUUUGCAAGGUCAUCAAAAGGUAUUGUGAUGAGCCAGAGAAAGUAUGCUCUAGAGCUAAUAGCCGAGAUGGGACUUGGGGGAGCUAAACCAGCUGCAACUCCACUGGAUACUAAUCUGAAACUCACAUCUAUUGAAUUUGAUAAACUUACUAAUCAAAACUCAGGUGAUGGUGAUCCUAUACUAGCAGAUAUUGGACAGUAUCAGAGACUUAUUGGUAGAAUUUUGUAUCUCACUAUGACUAGAGUUGAUAUAUCUUAUGCAGUACAAAUGCUCAGUCAAUUCAUACAUCAACCCAAGCAAUCUCAUCUUGAUGCUGCCAUGAGAGUUGUAAGAUAUAUUAAAGGUGCUCCAGACCUUGGACUUCUCAUGCCAUCUGUAAGUUCUGAAAAAAUGGAAGUAUUUUGUGACUCUGACUGGGGAGGAUGCCUUCAAACCAGAAGAUCUGUGACUGGGUACUUAAACACCUUUGGUGGAGCUAUGGUCUCUUGGAAAUCUAAGAAACUGGUUACAGUAGCAAGAAGUUCUGCAGAAGCAGCAUUCAGGAGUAUGGCCUCAGCAGUUGCUGAAGCAACAUGGCUGGUAAAUGUAUUCAAGGAGAUAGGGAUCAAUAUAAAUGUUCCCAUUCAGAUGUUCUGUGACAGCAAAGCUGCUAUUCAGAUUGCAUCAAACCCAAUAUUUCAUGAAACAACAAAACAUAUUGACAUCGAUUGUCAUUUUGUUAGGGAGAAACUAUUACAAGGAAUGAUCAAGGCUUUUCAUGUAUCUUCCAAGGAGCAAGUAGCUGAAUUGCUCACCAAGAGCCACGGGAAACAUGCACAUGAUUAUUUAUUGUCCAAACUGAUGUUAAAAGAUCUCUUUCAACCAUCAGUCUGGGAGGGUGUUAAGAGCAGUUAGAACUAGUGCUGACUAGAUGACAGCUGUACAGAAAGUGGUGUAAAAUAUAACUAGCAAUUAGUUAGAGUUAAUUAGGAUAUUAAAUAGUAGAGCUUGGAUUAAUUGUAGCCAACGAGAUAAAUCAUUUUCUGAAUGAGAAGUUAUUUUUCUCUGUUCUAAUUCUCUCCAACCAACUAUCCUCUUCUUCCUCUCCGAGUCCAUAGUAAACACCAUUAAUGGUGAUAUCUGAGUAAGUCAAGUAAUUCAUCAGGUCUACAUCCAUAACCUUCGAAGUAAGUUUUACUCUCUCUAUAAAAAAUGAUGGUUUCCCACGUCGAAACUGUUAACUAUUGUUCCACUGUAAAAUGUACAUUUUUCAUUGAUGGGCUGUACUUUAAUGCUUUGAGAUACUGUAUAUCGAUAAUCUUUCUCAAGGAUGGUAGAAACAGUAAGUAAUCUAGGUUUCCGUAGAUAUGUCAGAGAGUAGAAGUGUAUAAUAAUCACGGUGUCAAGGAGUAUGAUAAGUAGCCUAUGAAAGAGAUUCAUUUAGUUUUUGAGAACUUCAACUUCUUUUUUGUCAUGUACUAUUGAUCUCAAAACACAUUGCAAUCAUACAUUAACAUACAAAGCUUCUAAAAUGAAUCAUCAUUUUCUCAUUGAGUACUUUUGCUUCUUUAAGUUUAAUGUGUAUUCAGAAAAGAAAAUUCAUGGGAUGAAAUUGAGAUGAAGAAUGUCUCAUAUAAAGCUACCGAAAACAAAUACCAUGCGUGUUCAACCAAGUUCGUUGUUGUUGUUUUAAUGCAAUUUUCUUCUUAUUGUUGUGUUAUGAACCAGUAGCUGUCCAGAUACUAAUAAACAAUACUAACUAGUUUAAGAACUCUAAUAGCGCUGUUCCAAUGAUAGAUCUUUUUGUUUUCCCAUAUGGAUUAUUUGGCAGAAGAUAAUACACAUAGUGCCAUUCUCUAGGAAACAGAGGCCUCUACCCUUUGCUAUGAUACUAUACGUCAUCUGAUUCUACACAAGAGCAAUAAUCAUCGAAGGGCGGUCAGUUGAAUACCCUACAACUGAAACUUAUGUUGUGUAUAUAUAUUGAUUGAGCCAGAAUUACCACUAAAUGGAAAAAAAAUAUAAAGAAGUAAACACACAAAGUUAAGGGAAUUCAACGUAUGGCAUCUAUACCAUGUAGUUUGUCAGCAAAAGUUAUGGUGGAUCCACCACUGUAUAUAUAUAAGUACCCUUAAUGAAAUUCAUAACUGUGCCACUGCAUGAUACACAAUAUUAAUAAGUGGGAAAUUGUAAUAAGUUCCGGAAGUUAGUUAACACUGGAUAGCUACAGUGUAGUUAGUUACUCAACUACUGUAAAGUUAGUUAAGUAGUUAUAACUAACUCAAGUAGCCUAGUCAAUUGGAUAGUGGGGUCAUGAGCUCUGUAUAAACAUGUAAUCCAUUCGUUUUUCACAUAGUACAAACAUUACUUCUUCCUUCUCAAAAUCUCUCUCUCUCUCUCUCUCUCUCUCUCUCUCUCUAUUUUUUCAAUUCUCAUUCUCAUUAAAUGCUUCCUCGAGUUAGUUACUCUUGAGGCAGUAAUUUCGAUCCUCGAGUUCAUUCGAACUCAUGUAAUCGAUUAAAAGUUGGUAUCAUUGGUAUCAGAGCCAAUAGAAUUCUUGGCAAUUAUGAUGAAAACAGCUCGAUCUAUUGAAAAUUCUCCAGCUGACAUGGUAGAAAUAAGGGAUGUGCUGCAAAAAUUGACAAAGGAUAUGAGCAAUUUGGCAGGGGAAGUUACUAACUUGAACAGGUUGGAUCAGGUGAUACUGGAAUUAAAGGAUCAUUUGGUGAAUUUUGAAGAGAAGAGGAGAGAUAAAUCUCCAUUAGAUCAAGAUGAACCAUCGAGGGUUAGGCAAUCAGUUGAGAGGGAGCUGUCACGACCCAAGUCGGAAUCCUAGCCGCGACGAGCAUCCUGAACCAUAUAGACUCGGGUGCCCCUUUCUGUCUGGUAAUCAUGAACACCAUUCAUAACAAUAAGAAAAAAAAUACGGAAUACCACAAAUGGAAUCAUGGUCAUAAUCUGAGUUCUGUUUAACAGUACAGAAAUAAGUUAAUCAAUAUCUAGACAACAUCUGUUUGAGUCAGCGAAAUCUCUAUUACAUACAGAACUAUCAUACUGUCUGAAACUGGGACAAGUCCCCCAGUGGACCUAAAGCAAAGUAAAUAACAAGUAUCUGGAAAGAAAUAGGCCUUUCGGAAUAAAGAAGGCUCACCAACUAUACACUUCUCUUUGAAUAACUCUACGGCUUAGCAGGACCUCUAGACUGAGCCUAUAUGGGGUCAAUACAAUUGUACUGGUAUGCAGAGCAAUCCAAAAUAAUGCAUUUAUAUAUAUAAAAUAGAUGAGAGCAGGUCAUGAAACAUCAUGCAUGAUAUAGUUUAAAAUGCAUUGGCAAAUCUUUGAUAAUCAUAAAACAUUCUUGUCAAUGCAAUUCUAUUCUUUGUAUUACUUCUGAGUUAGGUGGUAAAACCUACAAUUCUAUGACCCCACGGGCUAUAUGGAUUCCGCCCUUAACUCGGCAGCCAAGCCCCCAACCCAAGUUUGCGGCAAGAGUUGGAGUUUCUAAUUCUUGUAUGCCACAGCGCAUAAGGCCAGCGUAUAGUCCCCCUUGGGGACAUAAUAACCCAUAUCGACAAAAUAUGAUUUCGGGCAAUGAGUUAUCUGAACUUGAUCCUCUUUCGGGUAACCAUAUAACAUCUCUUUAUGCCCAUUUUAAACUUUUUUGAACAUCAAAAUUUAAGAUCCUAAGUUCUGAAAAAUCUGAAUGAAAACUAAUUUCUAUUGUUAUUCUAAGUCUGUUAUGGAAUUAUCUAUUUUGGUGUCGUCACACCAAGACUUAAAAGUCCUAUAUCUGUGCCAUAUGGUACAAUAAAUGAUUCUUCCAUUCUAAACAAUGUUCAGAAUCUCAACAUGCAAAUAGUAUAAGAAAAUUCAUAUAUCAAAACACGAGUUAAAACCAUAUAAAGAUCUUUAUCCUUUCAACAAUUUUCAACAAAUAGUGGUCCAUUCAUCAAGAACAUUUAUGAAAAUCCCUUCAUUCAUCAUUUAUAACAUUUAACUCAUAAUAUCAUUCCUCUCUCCAAUUCUCAACCAUCAUAAAAGUUCAAGUAAGAUAAUAAGGCUCUUGACUCAUCAUUUAAAUCAUGCAAGUUUAGGAACUCAUAACUUGUAAAUCAAGUAGUUACACACUGGGAGAUGAAAGGAUUCGAUAAUUCAUGCUCUCAAUUCAUAUUUCAAAAAACUUCAACACAUACGUACAUAUAUACUAGUCAAAUCACCUUCAAGGGAAGGCCUCAAGACCAAAACAAUAUUAUCAAGGGCUUCAAAAGCAUGAUUAUAAUUGUGAAUCCAAAACCCUUUUUGUAAGUUCAUGAUUUCUAAACCUUUAACAUCAUUAAGAGGAAAUUUCUAUGCCCAUGUAAUUUUAGGAGAACCCCACAUACCUUAAGUAGUUUAAUUUGAGAAUUGAAACUCCAAUCUUGACACUCUUCUUGAAUUCAUGAACUUAGGAUAUGGACUCUUGAUCUUUGGAAGAGAGGUUAGGGUUUUUGAAACUCCAAUCUUAACACUCUGCCCUAAAAAUGCUUUAAUCCUUAGAUAAUACGAUUAGAAAUGGUGGGGAAAAGACGAGAUUGUCCUCGGACUUAAAAGCUGUUAACCAAAUCCCAUUUUUGAGGCUUACCAUGAUGCGCUGAUGGGGUCAUCGCGAUAACCAUCGCGACGCGGUGGAAUCACUGUGACUCACUAGAUUCUGAUAAUUUUCAUUUUGGGGUUCACCAUAACGUGGUGCAAUCAAGAUGAGUUUUUGGAAAUUGACAAAUGCUGAAUUCGCCUCCAUCACGAUGCGGUGAGGCUUCCAUUGCUAUUUCCACCGUGAUGCGGGGGAAUUGCGGUGGCUUGCUGGAAUGAAAAAUCCAACCAAAUUUUAAACGCUCAUUAAGACUUAGUUAAUAGAAAGGAUUUUGGAACAUUAACGCGUAGAAAUAACGGUCUAUAUUCUAGCCUGAAAUACGGGUCAUUACAUUAUCCCACCUUGGGAUCAUUCAUACCUGAAUGAUGACUUGGGACACAACAAGCACGAUUAAAAAAAUUAAGUAAAAGAAAAGGAGUAGUAUAGGAUUUUGUACCUUCUAAAUCAUCAUCCAUGGCCACAUAAAGUGUCGGGUACCUCGCAUGCAUAUCAUCUUCGGACUCCCAAGUAGCCUCCUCAGCUUUUUGAUUCCUCCAAAGCACCUUAACCGUAGCUAUUUCCUUACUCCUCAACUUUUGAACUUGUCUAUCCAAGAUUGCAACAAGUUUUUCCUCAUACAACAAGGAGUCUUUUACAUUGAUCUCCUCCACAUGCAACACUAGGGAAUAAUAUCCAAUGCACUUUUUCAACAUGGACAAAUGAAAAAUUGGAUGAACGGAAGCCAGACUUGCAGGAAAUUCUAACUCAUAAGCAACCCCACCUAUACUUCUUACAAUCAGAUAUGGUCCUAUAUAGCGAGGUCUCAAAUUCCCUUUCUUCCUGAAUCGCAUGACUCCAUUCAUAGAGGAGAAUUUUAAAAACACGCAAUCACCAACCUCAAAUUCCAGCUCCCUUCUCCUAACAUCAACAUAUGAUUUCUGGUGACUCUGAGCUGUCUUAAGUCGUUCUCUAAUGAUUUACCUUCUCCACUGCCUGAUGAAUAAGAUUAGUCCCAAACAACCAUAUCUCACACACUUCAUACAUAGGUGAUCUACAUCUUCUCCCAUAAAGUGCUUCAAAAGGAACUAUCUUAAUGAUGGCAUGGUAGCUAUUUUUGUAGCGAACUCUAUCAAUGGCAAAUGAUCUACCCAACUACCCUUGAACUCAAUUAUAUAGGCCCUCAAUAGGUUCUGAAUGGUGCAUUCAGGUUGUCCAUCGGUCUGAGCGUGGAAUGUAGUACUAAGGUUCACUUGGGGGCCUAAACCCCUCUAAAAAAGAUUGCCUAAACUGGGAAAAGAAUUGCGUACCUCGAUCGGGUAUAAUUGAUACAGGUACCCCCAGCAACCAAACUAUUUCCUUGAUGUAUAGCUUGGCAUAAUCAUCUCCCGAAUAGUUAGUCCUCAUAGGUAGAAAGUGAGCUGACUUGGUCAUCUGGUCCAAAAUUACCCAAAUGGAAUCAUAUUGCUUUCGAGACCUCGGAAGUCCCGUGAUGAAGUUCAUAUUGACCAUCUCCCGCUUCCAUAUAGGCAAAGCUACCUCUUGGGAAGUACCAUGUGGUCUAAAAUGUUCCACUUAAACUUGUUGGUAAUUCAAACACUUGGAAACAAAAUCAGCAAUAUCACAUUUCAUAUUAUUCCACCAAUAUAUAGCAUUAAGAUCAUGGUACAUUUUAGUAGAGCCUGUGUGAACAACAUACCUUGAAGUGUGAGCCUCAUCGAGGAUCCUCUCUCGCAAACCAUCCACAUUCGGUAUACACAGCUUGCCCUGGUACCUCAAAAUACCAUCAUUUCUAAUUUCAAAAGACAUCACCUUCUGUUGACCCAGAUCUUUCUUAAUUUGCAUCAAGAUAGGAUCCUCAUCCUUCUUCUCCUUAACUUCCGCACAUAGGAAAAAUUUAGCUAUUUCAUGCAUAACUAAUCCUCCAUCUUCAGAAUCCAGAAGUCACACCUCUAGAUUUGCAAGGUGGUGAAUAUCUUUCACCAUCUCCCUCUUUCCUUCCUCAUUAUGAGAAAGACUACCCAUUAAUAAUCUUCUGAGGGCGUCGGACACAAUGUUUGCCUUGCCCGGAUGAUAGUGCAGGCUCAUAUCAUAGUCCUUCAACAAUUCUGACCACCGUUUCUGCCUGAGAUUAACUUCUUUCUAUGAGAAUACAUACUGCAAACUUUUGUGGUCAGUAAAUAUAUCAACAUGUACCCCAGACAAAUAAUGCCGCAAAAUUUUAAGUGCAAACAUCACAACCGCUAACUCCAAAUCACGGGUGGGGUAAUUUCGCUCAUGCACCAUUAACUGUCUAGAUUCAUAAGGUACCAGCUUACCAUGCUGCAUAAGUACACAUCCAAGUCCUACUCGGGAUGCAUCACAAUACACCAAAAAACCCUCUGUACCCACCGAAAGAGUCAAAAUAGGUGCAGUAGUCAACUUGUCUUUCAACUUCUCAAAACUAUUCUCACAAGAGUCAGAACACACAAAUUUCACCUUUUUCUACGUCAACCUAGUAAGUGGAGUAACUAUGGAACAAAAACUCUCUACGAAUCUUCUGUAAUACCCUUCUAAAACCAAGAAGGUUUGAAUGUCGAUUGGAGUUGUGGGUUUGGGCCAUUUUCUCACUGCCUCAAUCUUUUGGGGAUCAACCUUAAUUACCUCACUAAACACAAUAUGCCACAAAAAUGCAAUAGCACUAAGCCAGAAUUCACACUUUGAAAAUUUUCAUACAAUUUAAGAUCUUUGAGGGUCCGAAGAAUAAUUCGAAGGUGAUUGACAUGAUCCUCCUCACUCUAAGAAUAAAUCAAAAUGUCGUCAAUGAAAACUAUGACAAACAGAUCUAAAAACUGAUGGAACACCCUAUUCAUUAGGUUCAUGAAGGUUGCAGGGGUGUUAGUAAACCCGAAGGACAUGACUAAGAAUUCAUAAUGGCCAUAUCAAGUUCGAAAAGCUAUUUUUGGAAUAUCUUCCUCCCUAACCUUCAAUUAAUGAUACCUAAAUGAAGUUCUAUCUUGGAGAAAAACCUAGCACCCUGAAGUUGGUAAAAAAAAUCAUCAAUUCUAGGAAGAGGGUAUUUGUUCUUAACAGUGACCUUAUUCAGCUGACGGUAGUCUAUACACAUGCAAAGGGAACUAUCUUUCUUAUACAUGAAGAGUACAGGUACACCCCAUGGAGAAACACUAGGACGAAUAAAACCCUUGUCAAGAAGAUCUUUUUACUGUUCUUUAAACUCUUUCAAUUCUAAAGGAGCCAUUUUGUAUGGUGGAAUAAAAAUAGGACAAGUAUCCGUCAAGAAGUCAAUACCAAAAUCUAUCUCCCUAUCAAGUGGUAUUAUUGGAAGUUCAUCAGGAAAGACUUCUAGAAAUUUAUUAACCACAGGGAUAGACUGAAGAGAAGGGCUUUUGAUAUUUGAAUCCUUAACCUGAAUAAGAUAAUACAAACAACCUUUGGAAAUAAGCUUACGGGCUCUGAGAUAAGAAAUAAAUUUCCCUUUAGGUUCGAAAGAAUACCCCUCCCACUCUAUCACAAGUUUGUUUGGAAAAAAGAAAGUAACCCUCCGAGUUCUACAGUCUAGGAUGGCGUAGCAUGAGUGAAGCCAAUCCAUUCCUAAUAUAGCAUCAAAGUCAAGCAUGUCAAGCUCUAUAAGGUCUGCCAUAGUAUCAUGAUUAUAAAUAGACACUUCACAAUUUUUUUAUACCCACCUAGACACAACAUAAUCACCUACAUGAGUGGAAACAGAGAAAGGUUCUGAAAUAACUUCGGGCUCAAAAACAAAAUCGACUACCACAUAUGAGGCAACAUAAGAUAAGGUAGACCCGGGAUCAAGUAACACAUACACAUCACGGGAGAAAAUUUGUAACAUACCCGUGACUACAUCUGGUGAGGCCUCUGCCCCUGGCAAUUUGAUAAAUCAUACAACCAAUUGCGGCCACUCCUAAUAGCUGAAUAUCACGAUCCAAACUGAGGCCCUGGCUGUGACAAGCAUUCUGAACCAUGAAGGCUUGAACACCCUUGUCUAUCUGAUAGUCAUGCACAAUAUUCAUACAAUAAAGUAAGAUGCAGAAAUAUAACAUAAUACAAAAUCAUGGUCAUACUCUAAACUGAAUUUAACGAUAAGAAAUUUAAAAUAAAAUAACUCUAGACAAUAUCUAAACUAGUCGUGAAAUCUCUAUUACAUGCUAAAAUAACAACUGUCUGAAUCUGGGACAAGUCCCCCAGUAGACCUAAAACAAAAUAAUAACAUAGUCUGGAAUAAACAGUACUUCUGGAAUAAAGAAGGCUCACCACUGAACAGUCUCUUCUCUUUGAAAUCUCUACUUCUUAGUCGGACCUCUAGAUUGAGCUUCAAAUCCUGAGAGAUAGGGGUCAAUACAGUUGUACUGGUACGCAGAGAAAAUCCAAAAUAAUAAUUUUUAUUCAACAUAUAUAAGAGCUAUUUAAAACAGUUCAUAAAUAUAUCAUAUGUUAAGAAUCACAUGGGCAUAUUUAAAAGACUAUAAAAUCAUCUGAACUUUGUGACAUACUCUUUGUUUUACUUCUGCGCUAGGUGGAGUACCCUAUAAUUCUGUAAUUCCAUGGGCUAUAUGGAAUCUGGCCUUAACUCGGCAGCUAAGCCCCCAACCCAAGUUUUCCAUAAGGGUCGGAGUCUCUGAAUCUCUAAUACACCACAGGGCCGUCGCCAGCGUAUAAAAGUAACAUGCCUGUAUCGGCAAAACACAAUUUUAGGCUAUGAGCCGUUUAGCUCAUGCCCUCUUCGGAUAACUACCUAACCCUCUAUAAGCCUAUUUUUAAUUCUUUACAACAUGUAAUCUUUAAAGUCAGACUCUGAAGACUUAUGUGCAGUUAUGGCAUAAAUUUAUAUGGUAUCGUCAUACCAUUAACUUGCAAGUCACAUUCUCUGAGCCAUUUAUAGCAACUUAUGUCUCUAUUCUCAAAUCAUGGAAUUUAGGACCACCAUAUCAACAAUUCUUUUCAAGAAACUCAUUCUUUAUAACUCAUGUAAAACCAAGCAAGAAAUUCUCUUUAUCAACAAUUCAAUAAACAAAGGUGGUCAUGUCAAAAUUCUUAAUAUCAUGCAAUUUUUUCUCUUUAACACAAAACAUAGUUAUAUCAAGAAACAUCCUAUCAUCAUCUCUAAAUCAUGUUCAAAUACUAUGACAUUGAGAAAACUACUUUCAAUCAUAAAAAUGCAUUUCAACUCUUUUCCAACAAAACCUUAAACUUCAAUUCAAUACAAGAGAGGGAGUUCAUAAUUUGCUCUCUCACACAAUCUUCAAUCUCAAUUUUCAUACUUAUACAUAUACAUGUAAAUCAAUUUAGGGGAAAGGACCACAAGGCCAAAGCAAUAGUAACAUUGAAACAUUCGGAAUACAUAAUUUAAAACAUAGAUUCCAAAACCCUUUUAAAAUUCAUGCUUAAUAAUCAUAAAAUCAUGCUCUAGUGUUUUCAAGCCUAUGUAGUUUUUAGGAUAAACCCCACAUACCUUAGACUAUUAGAGUUGAAAGAUGAAACCUAUAUCUUGAUAGAUGGAACCCGGAUCUUGAUCCUUUUCUUGGAGUCUUGAACUUAACAUCUUGAUUCUUGAUCUUGAGGGAAAGGAUUUAGGGUUUUAAUUUGAGAGGAAAAAUUGAAUUAUGGAGUGUAUUCUUCUUUUGAGGCAUGAAUAUUAUGCUAUGGACAGACCUUGGGUGAGGUAAAGGUCCAAAUUUCCCUUAAAAAUGUGAAAAAAUAACCUGAAAUUAGGUGUGCACGAUGAAGCGUGCGUCGCACGCUAAUCGCGUGUAGCUACUGCCUCUCUCACGAAAAUGGCUGUAACUUUUUGCUCGGGUAUUAGAUUUUGGAGAAAUUGGUAUAGUUAGAAAGACACUUUGAAGAAUUUUCAUUUGAUGUAUAGUAGGCCCUCUAAUUCGAUAUAUACAAGAAGUUAUGGUCGAUGAAAGUUAACCCAAGUUUAAACAUCCAUCGAAACUAAAUUGCUAGAUAUGUUUUCAACUCGUCUUAGAGUUAGGAGAUUUAUAUGACCUCAAUUCAAAUUCAAAGGUAUUCCCACUCUAUAGGAUUGAUAACCACACAUAUUUUAAGAAGGAAUUAUCUAUUUUGGGUCUAUACGCAUAGGAAUAAUGGUCUAGAUUCUAGGCCGAAAGUAUGGGGUAUUACACUGAAGUAGGGUCUCUGGGAGGUAGUGGUGGCAUGGAGGAGUUUGCUUGGGACUUAGAACCAUCGAAUUUACUUCUAGAGGAAGGACAAUAUCUCUGAAAAUGGCCUGGCUGACCACAUGUAUAACAUACCAACCUGCCCAGUUGGCACCUCCUUGGGUGAUGCUUACCGCAGAUCUCAUACCGCGGAAAGGUCCGAUACGGCUGAGCCACACUACCCUGGGACUGGGUACCCUGUGCUCCGAAUCCAUGGCUAGGGUGAAAAUUUUGAGAUCGUCGGUCAAUUGGAGGUCUGGGUGCUAGUGCGCUAGCUGCAGGCUGAGCAUUUCCCCAAAACUUUUUCUUCUGCCACCUGUUCCCCCAAUUACCACCCUGCGGCUGACUAUUGUUCUGGCCCUUUUUGACUGUCUAUCCUUCUCCCUUGCUUCAACAACACUCUUUUUUUGCUCAUCAACCUACUGCAUAUGAAUGGACAAUCCGGAGAAGUCCAUAUCUCUGUUCAACAUUGCCCCUUUUCACUCCAACACCAAUUCAUCCGAAAGACCAUAUGCAAACUUCCUCAUAUAGGCCCUCAUGUUUCCUGCCAAUUUUGGAGAAUAACGGGAGAGUUGACUGAAAUUCAGGGUGUACUCCUUGACGCUCAUCUGUUCCUGUUUCAAAUUCAUAAACUCUUUAGACUUGGACUCUCUCAACUCCUGGGGAAAGAAUCGGUCCAGGAAAGCUUCCACAAAUUUACCCCAUACAUAACGCUCAGCUUUUUGACCCCUCGAAUCUUCCCACUCAUUGUACGACUUAUUUGCUACCUCCUUCAGUUGAUAAGCCACUAGUUCAAACCCUUUCACUUCAUUCAUAUGCAUCACUCAAAAUAUUUUUUCCAUUUCAUCCAUAAACUCUUGUGGAUCCUCCUCUACCUUUGUACCCAUAAACUUAGGCAGGUUCAAUAUCAUAAACUGACCCACCCGUGUAGUCUCAGAUGCACCAGAUGUAGAGCCAACAUCCUCCAACCGUUGGGUCUAUGAAGCUAUCAACUAUGAAAUCAUAUACAUCAAUUGUCUGAACUCAACAUUUGAUAUUUCUCUCUGGGUAGGUUGGGUGUGGUUGGUCCUAGACCGAAGAACCCUAGGUGCCCUAGGUGGACUGGUUUGAAUAGGAGGGGCUCCCAGAGCAGUAACAAAUUUAGAAGUGUGAGCCCUGUUAUGUGUCCUCAUUUUGUGGGUAGGACAGACAUCUUAUGUUUGAGUAUUCUGAUCAUUGGAGCGACGUGGAGGCAUGAUAGCUUUUCUGAAAUACAAGAGACCAUUGAUUAGGGGACAUUCAGACUCUACAGCACGAGCUAAAUCACAAAGAAGGGAGACAUUCCUAAACGCCUAGUAGCCUCUUACUUAUAAGUGUGGCGUGCUACACGCCCAUAAACAAGACUCUACCCGAUGCGAUUUUGCAGACACCCUGGGACCAUGAACCAUUCUUUGAUACCAAGUUUGUCAUAACCCGAGUCAGGACCCUAGCCGUGAUGAGCAUCCCAAACCAUAUAGACUAAGAUGGCCCUUUCUCUCUGGUACUCAUGAACACCAUUCAUAACAAUAAGAAAAAAAAUGUGGAAUACCACAAAUGGAAUCAUGGUCAUAAUCUGAGUUCUGUUUAACAGUAUGAAAAUAAGUUAAUCAACAUCUAGACAUUAUCUAUUUGAGUCUGUGAAAUCUCUAAUACAUACUACACUGUCAAACUGUCUGAAAUUGAGACAAGGCCCCAAUGGAGCUAAACCAAAGUAAAUAACAAGUAUCUGGAAAGAAAUAAGCCUUCCAGAAUAAAGAAGGCUCACCAACUGCACACUUCUAUCUGAAUAACUCUACGGCUUAGCAGGACCUCUGGACUGAGCCUCAGACCCUAAAAUAUAGGUGGUCAAUACAAUUGUACUGGUACGCAGAGCAAUAAAAAAUAAUGCAUUUAUAUAUAAAAACUAGAUGAGAGAAGGUCAUGAAACAUCAUGCAUGAUAUAGUUUAAAAUGCAUGGGCAAAUCUUUGAUAAUCAUAAAACAUUCUAGUCAAUGCAAUUCUAUUCUUUGUAUUACUUUUGAAUUAGGUGGUAAACCCUACAAUUCUAUGACCCCACGGGCUAUAUGGAUUCCUCCCUUAACUCGGCAGCCAAGACCCAAACCAAAUUUUCCACAAGAGUUGGAGUUUCUAAUUCUGGUAUGCCAUAGCACAUAAGGUCAGCGUAUAGUCCCCCUUGGGGACAUAAUAACCCAUAUCGACAAAACAUGGUUUCAGGCAAUGAGUUAUCUGAACUUGUUCCUCCUUCGGGUAACCACCUAACAUCUAUUUAUGCCCAUUUUUAAACUUUUCUGAACAUGAACAUUUAAGAUCCCAAGUUCUGAAAAAUCUGAAUGAAAACUAAUUUCUAUUGUUAUUCUGAGUCUGUUAUGGAAUUAUCUGUUUUGGUGUCGUCACACAAAGACUUAAAAGUCCUAUAUCUGUGCCAUAUGGUGCCAUAAAUCAUUCUUCCAUUCUAAACAAUGUUCAGACCACUCAGCAUGCAAAUAGUAUAAGAAAAUUCAUAUAUCAAAACACGAGUCAAAACCAUGUAAAGAUCUUUAUCCUUUCAACAAUUUUCAACAAGUAGUGGUCCAUUCAUCAAGAACAUUUCUGAAAAUCCCUUCAUUCAUUAUUUAUAACAUUUAAGUCAUAGUAUCAUCCCUCUCUCCAAUUCUCAACCAUCACAAAAAUUCAAGUAAGAUAAUAAGGCUCUUAACUCAUCAUUUAAAUCAUGCAAGUUUAGGAACUCAUAACUUGUAAAUCAAGUACUUACACACUGGGAGAGGAAAGGAUUUGAUAAUUCAUGCUCUCAAUUCAUAUUUCAAAAAACUUCAACACAUACAGACAUAUAUACUAGUCAAAUCACUUUCAAGGGAAGGCCUCAAGACCAAAACAAUAUUAUCAAGGGCUUCAAAAGCAUGAUUAUAAUUGUGAAUCCAAAAACCUUUUUGUAAGUUCAUGAUUUAUAAACCUUUAACAUAAUUAAGAGGAAAUUUCUAUGCUCAUGUAAUUUUAGGAGAACCCCACGUACCUUAAGUAGUUUAAUUUGUGAAUUGAAACUCCAAUCUUAACACUCUUCUUGAAUUCUUGAACUUAGGAUAUGGACUCUUGAUCUUUGGAAGAGAGGCUAAGGUUUUUGUUCUUGAGAAUUUUUUUGAGUACAAAUAGGCAUACUCUGCCCUACAAAACUCUUUAAUACUCAGAUACAAUUAGAAAUUGUGGGGAAAAGAUGAGACUGCCCUCGAACUUAAAAGUUUCUGAACAAAUCUCUUUUUUGAGGCUUACCGCGACACGCUGACGGGGUGGUCUUCACGAUAACGACCGUGAUGCGGUAGAAUUGCGGUGACUCACUGGAUUGUGACACUUGUUAUUUUGUUGUUCACAGCGAUGUGGUGCAAUUGCGAUGAGUUUUUGGAAAUUGACAAAUGUUGAAUUGGCCUCCAUCGCAAAGCGGUGAGGCUUCCAUCGCUAUUUCCACCGCGACAUGGGAAAAUUGCGGUGGCUUGCUGGAAUAAAAAAUCCAACCAAAUUUUAGACGCUCAUCAAGACUCAGUUAAUAGGAAGGCUUUUGGAACAUUAACGCAUAGGAAUGAUGGUUUAUAUUCUAGCCGGAGCUACAGGUCGUCAUAUUAUCCCACCUUGGGAUCAUUCAUCGCUGAAUGAUGACUCGGGACAGAGCCAAGCACGAUUACAAGAAUUAAGUGAAAGAAAAGGAGUAGUAUAGGAUUUUGUACCUUCUAAAUCAUCAUCCAUGACCACGAAAAUAGUCGGGUACCUCGCACGCAUAUCAUCUUCGAACACCCAAGUAGCCUCCUCAACUUUUUGAUUCCUCCAAAACACCAUAACCAGAGCUAUUUCCUUACUCCUCAACUUUCAAACUUGUCUAUCCAAGAUUGCAACAAGUUUUUCCUCAUACAACAAGGAGUCUUUUACAUUGAUUUCCUCCACAUGCAACACUAGGGAAUAAUCUCCAAUGCACUUUUUCAACAUGGACACAUGGAAAAUUGGAUGAACGGAAGCCAGACUUGCAGGAAAUUCUAACUCAUAAGCAACCCCACCUAUACUUCUUACAAUCAGAUAUGGUCCUAUAUAGUGAGGUCUCAACUUUCCUUUCUUCCCGAAUCGCAUGACUCCUUUCAUAGAGGAGAAUUUUAAAAACACCCAAUCACCAACCUUAAAUUCCAGCUCCCUUCUCCUAACAUCAGCAUAUGAUUUUUGGUGACUCUGAGCUAUCUUAAGUCAUUCUCUAAUGAUUUACCUUCUCCAUUGCCUGAUGAAUAAGAUUAGGCCCAAACAACAGCGUCUCACCCACUUCAUACCACCCAAUAGGUGAUCUACAACUUCUCCCAUAAAGUGCUUUAAAAGGAGCCAUCUUAAUACUGGCAUGGUAACUAUUAUAGUAGGCGAACUCUAUCAAUGGCAAAUGAUCUCCCCAACUACCCUUAAAGUCAAUUAUAUAGGCCCUCAACAUAUCCUUUAGGGUCUAAAUGGUGCGUUCAGGUUAUCCAUUGGUCUAAGGGUGGAAUACAGUACUCAGGUUCACUUGGGUGCCUAAAACCCUUUAAAAAAUUUCCAAACUGCAAAGAGAAUUACGUACCUCGAUCGGAUAUAAUGGAUACAGGUGCCCCAUUCAAGCGAACUAUUUUCUCAAUGUAAAGCUUGGCAUAAUAAUCUCCUGAAUAGUUAGUCCUCAUAAACAGAAAGUGAGUUGACUUGGUCAUGUGGUCUACAAUUACCCAAAUGAAAUCAUAUUGCUUUUGGGACCUUGGAAGUCCCCUGAUGAAGUUCAUAUUGACCAUUUCCGAUGUCCACAUAGGAAAAGCUACCUCUUGGGAAGUACCACGUGGUCUCAAAUGAUCCACUUUAACUUGUUGACAUUUGAAACACUUGGAAACAAAAUCAGCAACAUUAUGUUUCAUAUUAUUCAACCAAUAUAUAGAUUUAAGAUCAUGGUAUAUUUUAUUUGAGCCUGGGUGAACAACAUACCUUGAAGUGUGAGUCUAAUCAAGGAUCCUAUCUCUCAAACCAUCCACAUGCGGUAUGCACAGCUUGCCCUGGUACCUCAAAAUACCAUCACCGCUAAUUUCAAAAGACAUCACCUUCUGUUGACUCAGAUCUUUCUUAGUUUGCAUCAAGAUGGGAUCCUCAGCCUGCUUCUCCUUUAACUUCCGCAUGUAGGAAAGAUUUAGCUAUUUCAUGAACAACUACUCCUUCAUCUUUGGAAUCCAGAAGUCACACCCCUAGAUUUGUAAGGUGGUGAAUAUCUUUCACUAUCUCCCUCUUUCCUUCCUCAACAUGAGAAAUACUACCCAUUGAUAAUCUGCUGAGGGCGUUGGCCACCAUGUUUGCCUUGCUCGAAUGAUAGUGCAGGCUCAUAUCAUAGUCCUUCAACAAUUCUAACCAUCAUCUUUGCCUGAGAUUAAGUUCUUUCUAUGAAAAAACAUACUGUAAACUUUUGUGGUCAGUAAAUAUAUUAGCAUGUACCCCGUACAGAUAAUGCCGCCAAAUUUUGAGUGCAACCACCACAACCGCUAACUACAAAUCAUGGGUGGGGUAAUUCUGUUCAUACACCUUUAACUAUCUAGAUGCAUAAGAUACCACCUUACCAUACUACAUAAGCACACAUCUAAGUCCCACUAGGGAUGCAUCACAAUGCACCAUAAAACCCUCUGUACCUUUUGAAAGAGUCAAAAUAGGUGCAGUUGUCAAUUUGUCUUUCAACUUGUCAAAACUAUUCUCACAAGAGUCAGACCACAUAAAUUUCACCUUUUUCUGUGUCAACCUGGUAAAUGGAGCUGCUAUGGAAGAAAAAAACUACGAAUCUUUUGUAAUACCCUGCCAAAGCCAAGAAGCUUCGAAUGUCGGUUGGAUUUGUCGGUCUGGGCCAUUUUCUCACUGCCUCAAUCUUUUGGGGAUCAACCUUAAUUAUCUCACUAGACAUAAUAUGCCCCAAGAACGCAAUAGUACUAAUCCAGAAUUCACACUUGGAAAUUUUUCAUACAAUUUAUGAUCUUUGAGGGUCCGAAGAAUAAUUUGGAGGUGAUUGACAUGAUCCUCCUCACUCUUAGAAUAAAUCAAAAUGUUAUCAAUGAAAACUAUGACAAAUAGAUCUAGAAACUGAUGGAACACCCUAUUCAUUAAGUCUAUGAAGGAUGCAGGGGUGUUAGUCAACCCGAAGGACAUAACUAAAAAUUCAUAAUGUCCAUAUUGGGUUCAAAAAGCUAUUGUUGGAAUAAAUUCCUCCCUAACCUUCAAUUAAUGAUACCCCAAACAAAGGUCUAUCUUGGAGAAACACCUAGCACCCUAAAGUUGGUCAAAAAGAUCAUCAAUUCUAGAAAAAGGGUCUUUGUUCUUAACAGUGACCUUAUUCAGCUAACAAUAGUCUAUGCACAUGCGAAGGGAACUAUCUUUCUUAUGCACGAAGAGUACAGGUGCACCCCAUCGAGAAACACUAAGAUAAUUAAAACCCUUGUCAAGAAGAUCUUUUAACUGUUCUUUCAACUCUUUCAAUUCUGCAGGAGCCAUUUUGUAUGGAGGAAUAAAAAUAGGAUAAGUAUCUGUCAACACGUCAACAACAAAAUCUAUCUCCCUAUCAGGUGGUAUUCCUUGAAGGUCAUCGGGAAAGAACUUUGGAAAUUUAUUAACCAGAGGAACAAACUGAAGAGAAGAGCUUUCGGUAUUUGAAACCUUAACCCAAAUAAUAUGGUACAAACAACCAUUGGAAAUAAGCUUACUGGCUCUGAGGUAAGAUAUGAAUUUUCCUUUAGGUGCUAAGGAAUACCCCUCCCAUUCCAUCAUAGGUUCAUUUGGAAAAGAGAAAUAACCCUCUGAGUUCUACAGUCUAGGAUGGCAUAGCAUAAGUAAAGCCAAUCCAUUCCCAAUAUAGCAUCAAAGUCAAUCAUGUCAAGCUCUAUAAGGUCUGCCCUAGUAUUAUGAUUACAAACAGACACUACACAAUUUUUAUAUACCCUCCUAGCCACAACAUAAUCACCUACGAGAGUGGAAACAGAGAAAGGUUCUGCAAUAACUUCGGGCUCAAACCCAAAAAUAGGCUACCACAUAUGAGCUCAGAUAAGACAAGGUAGACCCGGGAUCAAGUAACACAUACACAUCAUGGGAGAAAACUUAUAACAUUCCCAUGACUACAUAUAGUGAGGCCUCUUCCCCUGGCGAUUUGAUAAAGCUUACAACCAAUUGCGGCCACUCUCGGUAGAUGAAUAUCAUUACCCAAACCGAGGCCCUAGCCGUGAUGAACAUUCUGAACUAUGAAGGCUUGGACACCCUUCUCUAUGUGGUAGUCAUGCACAAUAUUUAUGCAAUAAAGUAAGAUGCAGAAAUAUAACUUAAUACGGAAUCAUGGUCAUAAUCUGAACUCAAUUUAUCGUAAGGAAUUUAAAAUACAAUAACUCUAGACAAUAGCUAAACCAGUCUGUGAAAUCUCUAUUACAUACUAAAAUGACAAUUGUCUGAAUCUGGGACAAGGCCCCAGUAGACCCAAAAUAAAAUAAUAACAUAGUCUGGAAUAAACAGGCAUUUUGGAAUAAAGAAGGCUCACCACUACACAGUCUCUUCUCUCUGAAAUCUCUACUGCUUAGUUGGACCUCUAGAUUGAGCCUCAGAGCCUGAGAGAUAGGGGGUUAAUAUAGUUAUACUGGUACGUAGAGAAAAUACAAAAUAAUAAUUUUUAUUCAAUAUAUAUGAGAGCGAUUUAAAAACUGUUCAUAAAUAUAUCAUAUGUUAUGAAUCACAUGGGCAUAUUUAAAAGACUAUAAAGUCAUCUAAACUUUGUGACAUAGUCUUUGUUUUACUUCUGCGCUAGGUGGUAUACCCUAUAAUUCUGUAAUUCCACGAGCUAUAUGGAAUCUGCCCUUAACUCGACAGCCAAGCCCUAACUCAAGUUUACCACAAGGGUUGGUGUCUCUGAAUCUCCACUAUGCCAAAGAGCUAUGACUCACUGGAUUGUGAAAAUUAUCAUUUCAGGGUUCACCGCGAUGUGUUGCAAUCAUAAUGAGUUUUUGGAAAUUAACAAAUGCUGAAUUAGCCUGUAUCGUGGUGCGUUGUGGCAUCCAUCGCUAUCCCACCGCAAUGCGGGGGAAUCGCGGUGGCUUUCUGGAACAAAAAAUCCAACCAAAUUUUAGACGCUCAUCAAUACUCAGUCAAUUAGAAGGAUUUUGGAACAUUAAUGCAUAAGAAUGAUGGUCUAUAUCUUGCCCGAUAUACGGGUCAUUACAGGAGCACAGAGAUCAAAGCCAUGGAAGUUAUCAUAAUUCUUAUCCCCAUUUCUUGAAGUGGUCACGCAUGGAGUUUUUGAGGUUUUUAGGGGAUGAUUUGCGUUUUUGGUUGUUCAAGAUUAAACAAUUUAUUGAUAAAAAAUGUACCUAAUUUUGAGAAAAUUUCCAUAGCCACACUACAUCUGGAAGGAGAGGAAAUUCAGUGGAAUCUAUCCUUCAUGAGGUAUCGACAGUAUCUUUAACCUAUUGGAUGGAAUGAGUAUGUGAUGGCAUCAGUAGAGAGGUUUGGAUAUGACUUUGAUAAUCCUAUGGAGGAAUUGAAGAAGGUUAAGCAAGUUGGGACUGUCAAAGAGUAUCAGGAUGUGUUUGAAAGGCAUCUUACAAGGGUGAAUUUGUCAGAAAAAAUGCCAUUAGUUGCUACAUCGGGGGUUUGACACCCAGCCUACUACCUUGUCUUAGGUUGACAGGAGUGCAAGACUGCAAGAAGCUUACUUGGAUACUGUUAAACCACCUGUAAGUUCACAUUAACUAUUUAAUUCAAGAAAUAUAGGAGAUAAAAAACCGUUCAAUAAUAAACCUCUACUAUCUACUCCUAACACACCCAAGGAAACUAUAAUAAGAAUUUAAAUAGUAGAAGGUUGAGCUUGGAAGCAAUUAAUAAGAAGAGGCAAAAAAGAUUGUGUUAUUUUUGCAAUGAAAAGUAUACUAUGGUCCAUAAUGUAAGACUACUAAGCAAUUGUACUUAUUGGAGUUAGAAGAAGGGAAUGAAGCAGAAGAUGGAGUGCCUGAAACUAAGGUGGAGUUGUAUGAAGAUGGGGAGAGAAAUUUUAAGUUGUCUCAACAUGCUGAGCACAUGGAGAUUUCAAUAGAUGCCUUAAAUGGUUCUUUGGGUUUUAGGACACUUAAGGUGACUGGAUAUCAUUCUAAAAAGAGGCUGCAUAUAUUGAUAGACACAGGAAGUUCUCAUAACUUCAUAGAUAUAGAUUUAGUACAACACUUAGGUUGUCCAGUCAGAUCUACCAGUCCUCAAAUGGUCGCUGCAGGAAAUGGGAGCAUAAAGGUGGAUAAAAUGACUACUAUUACUUAGUUACUACAAGGAGCUGAAUUUUCAGUAAAUUUUCUGCUAUUACCUUUGGGUUCAUGUGGUUUAGUAUUGGGAGUUCAGUGGUUGUUUACCUUGGGGGAUAUCAAGAUGAACUUCAGGAAUUUGACAAUGGAAUUCUGGUACAAGGUAAGGAAACAUCUACUAAGAGAAGCUGGGAGCCAGGUGUAGACUUUUGGAGCUAGUAAAUUAGCUAAAUACUAGAUAACCAAUCUCAACUCCAUAUGAUUCAAGUCAUGCCUAUGGGGAGUGAACAAAUGAAGUGUCACCCAUCAUUACUGGAGGAAGCUAAAACUGAAUGUGAUCAAGAUUUAUUAAAUCUAUUAUCAGAGUUUCAAGGGUUAUUUAAGGAACCUACUGGCUUACCACCUCAUAGGGAAGUUGAUCAUAAAAUUGUAUUGGGGGGGAGGGAGGGGGACUAAUCCUAUAAAUAAGAGGCCAUAUCGAUAUCCUUCCAUUAAGAAGGACAUUAUUGAAGGUGUGGUACAACAGAUGUUAGACCAAGGGAUCAUACAACCUAGUUGUAGUCCGUUUGAAUCCCUAGCGGUCUUAGUGGGCAAGAAAGAUGGUACGUGGAGGCUGUGUGUUGACUAUAGGGACUGAAAUAAGUUCACUAUAAAGAACAAGUUUUCUAUACCUAUUAUUGAAGAUUUAUUGGAUGAAUUAGGAGGAUCCAAAAUCUUUUGAAAAAUUGACUUAAGAUCUUGUUAUCACCAAUUAAGAAUGACUGUAGAGGAUGUGCCUAAAACUGCUUUUAGAACCCAGGCAUUUUGAAUACCUAGUAAUGCCUUUUGUCUUAUCUAAUACACCUGCUACAUUUCUACGAUUAAUGAACUCUGUAUUUUAACAAUUUCUUAAGAAGUAUGUGUUAGUUUUCUUUAAUGAUAUUUUGAUUCACUGUAGUACUAUUGAAGAACAUGUAAGGUAUCUAAGGUUAAUUUUUAAGGAAAUGAUCAGGCAUCAACUAUUUGCUAAAAGGAGAAAGUGUUUCUUUGGGGUUUAAAAAAUUGAAUAUCUUGGACCCUUUAUAUCAAAAGAAGGUGUUUUAAUAGAUCCUAAAAAAUAGUAGCAGUGAGGAAAUGGCCCAUUCCAACUACUCUUAAGCAACUAAAAGGGUUCUUUGGAUUGGCUAAUUAGUACAGGAGGUUCAUACAAGGUUUUGGUAUGAUUUGCUGGCCUUUAAAUGACUUCACAAAGAAGAACAAUUUUAAAUGGUCAACUGCAGCUCAAGUUGCUUUUGAAAAGUGAAAGAAGACUUAACACAAGCUCUUGUGCUUUAUUUACCUGAUAUCAACCAAACAUUUGUGGUGGAGCCUGAUGCCAGUGGAUUUGGAAUAGGAGCUAUACUUAUGAAAGAGGGACAUUCAAUUGUUUUCAUCAGCAAGGCAUUGUCCCCAAAAUAUGUUGUAUUAUCACUGUAUGAUAGGGAGUUAUUAGCCAUUGUUUAAGUUGUCACUAAGUGGUCUCAAUACUUGUUAGGACAAAGGUUUAUAAUAAGGACCGACCGAAAGGGUUUAAAGUUUCUUAUGGAGCAAAAGUUACAUACUAAUUCACAACUCUUAUGGUUGACAAAGCUGAUGCCAUUUGAUUACUCUAUAGAGUACAAAAGGGGAGCUAACAAUAAGGUGGCUGAUGCCUUAUCAAGAGUUACUGCAGCAGAAUUAUUAGCCUUGUUCAUAUCUCCUACGAUCUAUUCCAAGCUAUUGUGGAUAGUUGGACUAUAGAUCCAGAACUCCAACAACUUAUUGUAUAUUUGCAGGCUAAUCCUAUAGUUCACAAGAAAUUCACUUGAAGUCAAGGUUAGCUGAAAAGGAAAGGCAAACUGGUGGUUGGCAAGGUUUAAGAAUUGAGAAGGGAGAUCAUGACAUUAAGGCAUGCAAGUCCCCAAGGAGGUCAUUCUAGGGUAGAGGCUACAUUAAGAAGUUUGCUCACCCUCUUUUACUGGAUGAACAUGAGAGAGAAGGUGAAGAAAUUCAUUCAAAACUGUGAUGUUUUCCAAAGGAAUAAGUCUGAUUUGGCUGCAUACCCUAGACUUUUACAUCCUUUACCCAUACCUGAUAUGGUAUGGUCAUAAAUUAGCAUGGAUUUCAUUGAUGGAUUACCUAAAUUAAAUGGUUAUGAGGUGAUUAUAGUGAUGGUGGACAGACUUAGCAAGUUUGGGUAUUUUCUUCAACUUAAGCAUCCUUAUACAACCCAAACUGUUGCUAAGAUUUUCUUGGAUAAUAUUGUUAAGCUGCGUGGAUUCCCUGAUGCUAUUACUAGUAAUAGGGAUGCUGUUUUUAUCUGCUCCUUCUGGCAGGAGCUAUUCACUCUACAAGGUGAUAAGUUGUAUACGUUAUCAGCAUAUCACCCUCAGUCUGAUGGCUAAACUGAGGUUUUAAACAGAUGCUUAGAGACUUAUUUGAGGUCCUGCUGUAAUGAGGAUGCUUUUAACUGGUUUUCUAGUCUUUCUAUGGCUGAGUAUUGGUACAAUACCUCCCAUCACUCAAUUAUUCACAUAACACCAUAUGAGGCAUUGUAUGGCAGGCCACCUCCACUGCAUUUACCAUAUCUUCCUGGAGAAUCAACUUCAGAUGAGGUUGAUAACACCCUGCUGAAUAUAGAACUCAAGAUGUAGCUACUUAAGCAUCAUCUCACCAAAACUCAACUAAGGAUAAAGCAACUGGCUGAUCUUCAUAAAGAACUGACAGGAACUUUAAAGUUGGUGACUCGAUUUACUUAAAAGUGCACCCCUACAAUCAGGUUACUAUCACUAAUCAUGUUACUCACAAGCUGCCAGCCAAGUUUUAUGGACCUUUUUAGAUCAUUAAGAGAGUUGGACCUGUUGUUUACACUCUCUUACUACUUGGUUCUGUCAAGAUAUACCCUACUGUCCAUCUUUCUUUAUGAAAGAAGUGUUAUGAGUUGCCUUCUCAAAUAUCUUAUCCUUCUACUGUGGAAUUAGCAAAUCCCCAUUUCCCUGAAUCAGAGCUGGUUUUGUAGAGAAGAAUGGUUAAAAGAGGGAAUAAGGUUGUUUCACAGGUGUUGAUCAAGUGGACUGGACUUCCUGCUGAUGUUGCAACUUGGUAAUUUGCUAGUGUUCUCAAGACUAGGUUUCCCUUAUUUGAUCCUUGUUCUUUAUGGGGGAGUACUGAUACAGAAUAUUAAUAAGUAGGAAAUUGUAAUAAGUUCUAGAAGUUAGUUAACACUGGAAAGCUACAGUGUAGUUAGUUACUCAGCUAUAGUAAAGUUAGUUAAAUAGUUAUAACUAACACAAGUGGCCUAGUCAAUUGGAUAGUGAGGUCAUGAGCUCUAUAUAAACAUGUAAUACAUUCAUUUUCACACAGAUAUACAUACAUUACUUUUUCUUUCUCUAAAUCUCUCCCUCUCUAUUUUUUUCAAUUGUCAUUCCCAUAAACUGCUUCCUCGAGUUAGUUACUCCUAAGGCAGUAAUUUUGAUCCUCGAGUUCAUUCGAACUCCUGCAAUCGAGUAAAAGUUGGUAUCACUGCACACACAAAAAUUUAAAGGAAUCAAACCAUGAGAGGGGAAAGAGAGAUUUACAUAUUUAGCAGCUUGGCCAUUACCAGUGUCUAGUGCCAACAUCCCUAACAAGAUUGUGUUAAGUUCUCUUUGACGAAGCAAAAUUGAACAAGAAGUCAAAAACAUAUAUUUAAUUACAUGGAUUGAAUAAAAAGACCUUUAUAGAUUGUUUGUUGGGUGCCUAGCCCAAUGGAAAAUCUAGGAUGGGGCGAGGGUGUUCACCUAAACCCCUUCGGUUGAAUACCCUAAACAUAAGACUAGAGGUUUAGUAAGAGCUUAGUCACGUUCAGGUUUCAAGUUCAAAUCUUAAGCUCUAAAUUUCUAUUUUUUGAACCCUUUAAUAAACAUCUUGGAUCUACCGCUAGCCUCGCCAAUGCACAAAUCAUCACCCAAGUUUGUAACUAUUAUUUUUUUUGGAGAAAGGGGGGGGGGGGGGAAAUAUAACCCAAUUGGGCUGAUUUUAUAUAUAUAAAGCAUAAAAUAUUACCCAAUACAAGAGUCUGAAUGACCCAAAAGUAGCCAUCCCUUUAAAAAUAGUGUGAAGUAAAAGUGAACGGAGAGAGUAUCUUAGAUUAAAUCCUAUCCACCCCUUUAUAAAAUAUCUUCCCAUCCUUUCCGUACUCCAAUUCUCUUAAUAUUUCCUCUUUCUUGUUCAUCGUUUGGAUGGAAGCUUAUAGUUGUCACAACCUAAGCCAAGGCCCUAGCUAUGAUGGGCAUCCCAAACCAAAAGGCCCGAGAAUACCCCUUAGCAUACUAUCAUAAGCAUAAUAUGAACUAAAAUGCGGAAGUACAAUGAGAAUCAAAGAAACUCUUUCGGUCUAAAUGAAAUAGAAAUCCAAGACUCUCAAUAAGAUACCAUAAAAUACAUUAGUCAACAUCCAAUCUACCGAAGCCUCGAAUCAAUGCUAAACUGUCUAGAUCGGCAGAACAUAAACUGAAAGAAACUAACAUAUGAAUAAAUGACUUUCGAAUAAGGGAGGCUCACCGACUCUAAACUUGGAAAGAAGUCUACUUCUAUACUGGACCGCGGGAUUGAGCCUCAGAACUUACAUACGAGACAAUACAGCUUCCCAAGGACAAUCAAUACUUGAAAUGUAUUGGUAUAUAGAAAGGUAAAAGAAAAAAUUUUCAAAAUAGCAUAUUAGUGAAAACAUCAUAAGAAUCAUAACAUGGUGUCAUAUAACAUUAAAUCAAUCAUGUAUUUCGAUCCAAAACUUCUUUUUGAAACUACAUCAUGAUGUUCUUUAGUUCUAAGCUAGGCAGAAUAACUGAAUGGUCUGAAAAAUUCGAUAGGCUAUGUAGGGUCCUCUGACAGUGAAUCAUCGGUCAAGACCCUAGUCCGAGUUUUCCGCAAGGAUUACAGUGUGUGGUCUGGUAUAUAAAAGUAUAUAAAAAUAUAAAAUGAUCAUCCAUAUUUCAGGAUAGGAUCGCCAUGUAGCAAAACAUAGUUUUGAGCUAUGAGUUGUUUGAACUUGGCCUUAUCGGUUAGCCAUCUAACUCUCUUUAAGCCCUUAUUUUAUCCACUUAACACAUGCACUUUUCUUAAAACAUGGUCUAUAGAUUAAAAUAGUCUGUAGUCUGAAAUAACCUGUAGUUUGUCAUGGCAUUUGUCUGAUUUGGUAUCGUCAUACCAAGACUUGCAAGUCCUAUAAGCUACAUAAUAUGUUUUGUUUUAACACUUACAUAUCAUGAAUCAUUUACCGUCAUAAGACGUUCUAAAAGUCAUAAAGUAAGACUCUUUUUGUAAACAAGGUGGUUUAGGUAAGCAUUUCUCAAUUAUGUAUUCUGUAAAAGCUUUAGAAGGAGAUUUAUUCCUUUUCAAUCAUAUUUAAAUAACCACCAUAGAGAAAACAAGAGAAACAUCCAUACAAAUACAAUCAUUGAAACCUUUCACAUGCAUAAUUGGGUAACGAAAUCAUUCACAGCCUCAUUCUUUUCAUAAAUCAAAAUUUAACAUGCACAUAUAUAGAUAUAUACUCACGAAAGUACAUAAUUGAGAUUGAAGUGAAAAUCUUGUAGUUCAUGCUCUUAUAGCUAAAUGAAAUUUCAUAGUUUCAACACUAAAAAGAGAUUAAAAGAUUGUAAAUCAAACCCCAUAAGAUUUAGGUCGUUCUACAUACCUCUAAUAGAGAGAAACUGACGUAUCUUUGAUCUUUAGGGCUAAAUAGUUUUGAGCCCUUGGUAGUUUUCUCCUCUCUUUCUAUUAUAAUGAUG
rnacentral:lncRNA from 1 species